AAUUCGUUCAAGCAGCCAUUCUGAAGGACAAACUGGCUCUGUAUUUAAGAGGGGCAUUCCAGCACUUCUCUAGCCACUGGGUUGACAAUGACUCACCAAAGCCUCUGGUAGCCACCACAGGACACCCAGAGCAUAUGUUUUAAAGCUGAACACCAAACUGCGGACUUCGGGAACCCAAACACACUUGGAGGUCAUGUUCAAUAUGAAUACCUCACAGAGAAGGAAAUUUACACGCGAGAAGUACAUCUGCAGAAAGCCAGCUGGCAUGUCAACCAUUCAAAAACUCAGGGUGUUCUGGAUAAAGAAGACUCAGGAAGACAAGUAUGAAGCAUAAUCUGUGACAUUCCAUGCGGCAGACAUUAGACAUAUACAAGAGAGUUGUUGGAAAGCGGAAUUUAUCUUCAUAUAAACAACACUGAGCUAAAUCUCAAUAUUUCAGAUCUCUAGAACUAUCCAUCAGUGAAAUGGAUUGCAAAUACAAAGAGUAAUACCAUGUCACUUAAGAAUACAAUCAUGGACGAGGCUGCCACCUGCUGUUGGGGGCCACUGCAGAAGAAAUUCCAGAACACUGGACUGGAGAGCACCUCACUUUCCUUACAGCUCUAAGUUUCUGACUCAGUGACCUGAUUCACUACCAUAUACACAAAGACCCACUUACACAAAUGACUGUUCUUCACACUAGGCCCAUGGAGACAGGGAUAAAAUUCUGAAUUUGCUCAGAUACCUUCUCCGCUACUGACAUCUAGGCAUUACACAAUUCAUCUCUUCAUAUUUAACCUUUGAAGUUUGCUACUUCUCAGAGAGACUAAUGAGUAGUGAGCAAAUAUCCUGAAGUUGAGAAUGCUUCUACCUCCUCUCAAAACAACGGAAUAUUCAUCAAAACACAACAGUUCUGCACUUAACUUUAGGCCUUUUCUAACACCUUGUUUCUUGGCAGUAACUGUGGCCAGAAUAGCUCUUUCCACAGAUAAAGGACCUUUUGAAAGGAUAGGGUCUCUAGAUAGAAAAGCAAAUGCCUCAUUCCAGAAGGUCUUCAAGAAGAAAAUGUUGUGGUGAUAACAAACAUAACUGAUUAUAAUCUAUUCUGUGAAAAAAGCUUAUGAAACAGUAGAUGUGUGUAUCUAGUACAUAAGAGCUGAAUGUCAAUAUAUAUAUAGAUAUAUACACACACUCAAAUAAAUAAUAGUUAUCUCUAACUAGAGAAAUUCUAGUUGCCUUAUAUUUUCUUCUUUUUCCUUACUAUAUUUUCUACAAUAAACAUGUGUUUUUAACAAGAAAAGUCUUUUCUGGUGUGCUUUUUAAUUUUCUUUGUUUAAGUGAGAGUGAGGCUACAUAACUACAUGGCUAGGUAGACUUUUAGAAAACUUGACUGCUCUAGAAAAUUGACAUAUCCUGAUUUCUUCCAUAGCUUGGAUCUUGACCUAGAGGGAAAUAUAAAAGUGUUGACUUGAACCUGAGGGGUGCCAUUUUCACUGCUGAAGUAGUUUCAUGGAUCAUGAAUUGGAGAAAUGACUUCAGCAACAUGGGUGUUAAAAACAGAAAGCACAAGUGACCCACAACAGAUGAUGGAGAACAAAGAGCAAGCUGGGAAAGCAGUGGCCUUUAAUACAGAAAAGAAGAAGUAUAGCCACAAUAAAUAUUAGGCAGACAGCAGUUCAGCAGUUUAUACUAUUAAGCUGUUGUUUAGGGGAAUAGUAAACUGACAUGACCCUUGAGGUAGGUAUAUAUAGGUAAAUUCUAUGUGUCCCUUGAAAUAGGUGUAUGACACAACUUCUGGCAUCUACAUGGAUUUGGUCACUCUAAAGUAGCCAUGAGGCUUAAGAUAGUUCAGCUGUUUGGGGAUAAGUUAAAUCAUUUGCCAUUGUCUUUCUGCAAUUUGCAUAUCCUACAGUUAUCAUUGCCAUUACUGAAUGGCACAGAGAAAAAUUCUGGUCUAAAGUGGUUCUCAAACCUGGUUGCUGGAGGGCCACCCUCAGUGAUGAUGAUUUAAUCUGUAGAAGAGUAGAACAUUGAUAGUUUUUAUAUAUCUCCAGGUAAUUUUAAUAUAUAACUGGGGUGAGAAUCAUUGACGUAAUUGUAAGAGGAUAAUAUUCAGGAAAUAUGGAGAUAAAUAAUUUUCUUCUCGACAUUAAAAAAAUCUAAUAAAAAGUUUUAUCUUUUCCCCUAACUCAGGGUCAUCAGCCUUCAAGCUUCAGUCUCUGUGUGUUCACAGGUGCUGUAAACACACGCAUCACUACUAAUAUCCCACUUCAGUGCUAUUGCUGCUCCCAAAACUCCAGGUAUUUUUAACCUUAUAAACCUCCAGAAUAAUGAGACCACUGGGUUCAGUAAAUUGCUUUGUUUUGAAGCAGUAUUAGACAAAGUGGGAGACUAGAAGAUAAAUCUGUCAAUGACAUGUCCUUUAAGACUACUUAGAUUUUGUUGAAUUUGUGGAUCAUUCCUUACUUGAGCAAAUGGUAAAUUAACUCUCUCUUUUCUCUCUCUCUCUAGCUGGCACACUUUUUCCAGUAGCCAUUCUACUUGGUAUGCUUACUUAUCAGCUGUCCUCCAGGGGCCUCACAUUAGAUGUUUCUCUGACUAACCAAACAUGACACACAGCUGAAGUCAGAAAAACCAGAUUGAUAAUUUCACUCAAACUAUUUUCCUUCAUUCUAACAAUUUACUGGAGUACACAAUUGUGACUAUUUUUAGCCAUAGGAACUCAUAGAAAGACCAACUUCAUUAGACCUACAAAAUCGAAUUGUGUAACAGUAUAUGCAGUAUGUGUAGGAAUAAAAAGCAUUUCUCAAAUAUGCAGUACUGGAUUUUGCAAAAGCACCUUACACUUAGCUAUAAAGGAGUGGAAAACACAAAGAUGAGUAACUGCACCUUUCAAAAGACUAGAGCUAUACCAAUAAUACAAAGGUGUAAACAAAUAAUGAUGAGAUGACAAAGGCUGAGUGUUUUCUAUUUGGAAGCUAUGUUGUUGAGUUAUUUAUGUAUAUAAUUUCAUGCAAUCUUCAUGUUAUGGGGAUGUUCUAAUCCACUGUGACUCUGUCCUUAAAUAAAAGGGAGAUUUGGACAUAGAGAGAGGCACACGGGGAGGAUGCCAUAUGAGAAUUGACACUGUGCUGUCACAAGCCAAGGAACUACUGGAAGGAGAGAAAGAGGACUGGAACAGUUCCUUCCUUAGCACCUUUUCAGGCAGCCUAGCCCUGCCAGCUUCUUGAUCUGGACUUCUCACCUCUAGAAUUGUGAGGCAAUAAAUCUCUGUUGCUUAAGUUA